GACGAACGCUGGCGGCGUGCUUAACACAUGCAAGUCGAACGGUAAGGCCCUUCGGGGUACACGAGUGGCGAACGGGUGAGUAACACGUGGGUGAUCUGCCCUGCACUUUGGGAUAAGCCUGGGAAACUGGGUCUAAUACCGAAUAUGACCAUGGACUUCACGGUUUGUGGUGGAAAGCUUUUGCGGUGUGGGAUGGGCCCGCGGCCUAUCAGCUUGUUGGUGGGGUAAUGGCCUACCAAGGCGACGACGGGUAGCCGGCCUGAGAGGGUGACCGGCCACACUGGGACUGAGAUACGGCCCAGACUCCUACGGGAGGCAGCAGUGGGGAAUAUUGCACAAUGGGCGCAAGCCUGAUGCAGCGACGCCGCGUGGGGGAUGACGGCCUCGGUUGUAACUCUUUCACCAGGACGAAGCGAGAGUGACGGUACCUGGAGAAGAAGGACGGCCAACUACGUAGCCAGCAGCCGCGG
rnacentral:rRNA from 1 species